UGGCGGACGGGUGAGUAACGCGUGGGUAACCUGCCUUACACAGGGGGAUAACACUUAGAAAUAGGUGCUAAUACCGCAUGAGCGCACAGGACCGCAUGGUCGAGUGUGAAAAACUGAGGUGGUGUAAGAUGGACCCGCGUCUGAUUAGCUAGUUGGUGAGGUAACGGCCCACCAAGGCGACGAUCAGUAGCCGGCCUGAGAGGGUGGACGGCCACAUUGGGACUGAGACACGGCCCAAACUCCUACGGGAGGCAGCAG
rnacentral:rRNA from 1 species